GAAUAUUGGACAAUGGGCGAAAGCCUGAUCCAGCCAUGCCGCGCGUGUGAAGAAGGUCUUCGGGUUGUAAAGCACUUUAAGUUGGGAGGAAGGGCUUUAGGCUAAUACCCUGAAGUUUUGACGUUACAGACAGAAUAAGCACCGGCUAACUUCGUGCCAGCAGCCGCGGUAAUACGAAGGGUGCAAGCGUUAAUCGGAAUUACUGGGCGUAAAGCGCGCGUAGGUGGUUUGUUAAGUUGGAAGUGAAAGCCCCGGGCUCAACCUGGUAACUGCUUUCAAAACUGGCAAGCUAGAGUAUGGUAGAGGGUAGUGGAAUUUCCUGUGUAGCGGUGAAAUGCGUAGAUAUAGGAAGGAACACCAGUGGCGAAGGCGACUACCUGGACUGAUACUGACACUGAGGUGCGAAAGCGUGGGGAGCAAAC
rnacentral:rRNA from 1 species